GGCCCUUUAGCUCAGUGGUUAGAGCUGGCGACUCAUAAUCACACGGUCACCGGUUCAAGUCCGGUAGGGGCCACCA
rnacentral:tRNA from 2 species